GAAACGACUGCUAAGACUGGAUAGGAAAAGCAAAGGCAUCUUUACUUUUUUAAAAGACCUUCUUUGAAGGUAUGCUUAAGGAGGGGCUUGCGACACAUUAGUUAGUUGGCAGGGUAAAGGCCUACCAAGACUAUGAUGUGUAGCUGGACUGAGAGGUUGAACAGCCACAUUGGGACUGAGACACGGCCCAAACUCCUACGGGAGGCAGCAGUAGGGAAUUUUCGGCAAUGGAGGAAACUCUGACCGAGCAACGCCGUGUGAACGAUGAAGUACCUCGGUAUGUAAAGUUCUUUUAUUAAGGAAGAAAAAAGAGUGGAAAAACUCCCUUGACGGUACUUAAUGGAUAAGCCCCGGCUAAUUAUGUGCCAGCAGCCGCGGUAAUACAUAAGGGGCAAGCGUUAUCCGGAAUUAUUGGGCGUAAAGGGUGCGUAGGCGGUUUAAUAAGUCUAUAGUUUAAUUUCAGUGCUUAACGCUGUUGCGCUAUAGAAACUGUUUUACUAGAGUAAGAUAGAGGCAAGCGGAAUUCCAUGUGUAGCGGUAAAAUGCGUAAAUAUAUGGAGGAACACCAGAGGCGUAGGCGGCUUGCUGGGUCUUUACUGACGCUGAGGCACGAAAGCGUGGGGAGCAAACAGGAUUAGAUACCCUGGUAGUCCACGCCGUAAACGAUGAGUACUAAGUGUCGGGCAAAACCGGUACUGAAGUUAACACAUUAAGUACUCCGCCUGAGUAGUACGUACGCAAGUAUGAAACUUAAAGGAAUUGACGGGACUCCGCACAAGCGGUGGAUCAUGUUGUUUAAUUCGAAGAUACACGAAAAACCUUACCAGGUCUUGACAUUUUCUUGCGAAGUUAUAGAAAUAUAAUGGAGGUUAUCAGGAAAACAGGUGGUGCAUGGUUGUCGUCAGCUCGUGUCGUGAGAUGUUAGGUUAAGUCCUAAAACGAGCGCAACCCUUGUCGUUAAUUGCCAGCAUGUAAUGAUGGGGACUUUAACGAGACUGCCAAUGAAAAAUUGGAGGAAGGUGGGGAUUACGUCAAAUCAUCAUGCCCCUUAUGAUCUGGGCUACAAACGUGAUACAAUGGUUGAUACAAAGAGUAGCUGAAACGCGAGUUCUUAGCCAAUCUCACAAAAUCAAUCUCAGUUCGGAUUGAAGUCUGCAACUCGACUUCAUGAAGUUGGAAUCGCUAGUAAUCGCGAAUCAGCAUGUCGCGGUGAAUACGUUCUCGGGGUUUGUACACACCGCCCGUCA
rnacentral:rRNA from 1 species